rnacentral:lncRNA from 1 species
CAUGUUUGUUUGAAUGUUGGUGAUUUGGCUUCAGUGGAUCAGUGAUAUUUUCCUUAUGCAUGUGAUUUUAGAUUGUGGAUUUGUGGAUCUGGUUUUAUAGAUAUUCAGUUCAUGCAUUUAUGUCCUUAUGCAUUGCGGUUUUCUACCCCUCGAGGUAGUCGGUUUUCAAAAUAGAGUUUCCGAGUGGAAAAUAGUUUUUAAAAGAUUUACGAAUGGUUUUCAUGGAUGACUGAAAUAGAUUUCAAAAAUAAAGCUUCCGCGUGAGGAGCACUUUUAGAUGUCCUUAUGCAUUGCAUCAUCCAGCGCCUAAGGAGUGCUUAGAGGCAUGCAUCAUCUUAAGGAUUGAUAGCUGUAUGAAAAUGCAUAUCAUGAAUUGGUUGUUGAUUGAUAAAUGU